rnacentral:rRNA from 1 species
GACAGAGGAUGCAAACGUUGUUCGGAAUCACUGGGCAUAAAGCGCACGUAGGCGGUCUGUUAAGUCAGGUGUGAAAGCCCCCGGCUCAACCGGGGAAUUGCAUUUGAUACUGGCAGGCUAGAGAACGGUAGGGGUGAGUGGAACUCCAGGUGGAGCGGUGAAAUGCGUAGAUAUCUGGAGGAACACCGGUGGCGAAAGCGGCUCACUGGACCGUCACUGACGCUGAGGUGCGAAAGCUAGGGUAGCAAACGGGG